GAGAUGUCCUGAACCACUAGACGAUGGGGGCAUAUCCGCCCGACCGUCAUCAUACUAUGAUGAUAGUAUGAAC
rnacentral:tRNA from 1 species